rnacentral:rRNA from 1 species
UGGGGGAUAUUGCACAAUGGGCGAAAGCCUGAUGCAGCGACGCCGCGUGGGGGAUGAAGGCCUUCGGGUUGUAAACUUCUUUUGCUCUGAAUAAGGCGCACCAUGGGGUGUGUUGAGUGUAGGGGUUGAUUAGCGCCGGCUAACUACGUGCCAGCAGCCGCGGUAAUACGUAGGGCGCGAGCGUUGUCCGGAAUUAUUGGGCGUAAAGGGCUUGUAGGUGGCUGGUUGCGUCUGUCGUGAAAGCUCAUGGCUUAACUGUGGGUUUGCGGUGGGUACGGGCUGGCUUGAGUGCAGUUGGGGAGGCUGGAAUUCCUGGUGUAGCGGUGGAAUGCGCAGAUAUCAGGAGGAAUACCGGUGGCGAAGGCGGGUCUCUGGGCUGUUACUGACACUGAGGAGCGAAAGCAUGGGGAGCGAACAGG